GAUGAACGCUGACAGAAUGCUUAACACAUGCAAGUCGAUGAGGAAGUGGUGCUUGCACCAUGGUAACCAUGGCGGACGGGUGAGCAACGCGUAAGGAACUUGCCUGCGGGACUGGGAUAACAGCAGGAAACUGCUGAUAAUACCGGAUAAGGUCAUUAAGCUGCAUAGCUUAGUGAUGAAAGGAGACGCCUGCGGAGAGCCUUGCGUCCUAUUAGCUAGUUGGAGGGGUAACGGCCCACCAAGGCGAAGAUAGGUAGCCGGCCUGAGAGGGUGGACGGCCACAAGGGGACUGAGAUACGGCCCUUACUCCUACGGGAGGCAGCAGUGGGGAAUAUUGGACAAUGGGGGCAACCCUGAUCCAGCAAUUCUGUGUGCACGAAGACGGUUUUCGGAUUGUAAAGUGCUUUCAGCAGGGAAGAAGGAAGUGACGGUACCUGCAGAAGAAGCGACGGCUAAAUACGUG
rnacentral:rRNA from 1 species